ensembl:rRNA 5S_rRNA 5S ribosomal RNA
CCCGGCUGUUAGUCCCCUCAGCUGUCAGAUCUCCGCAACUCUCACAUGGUCGCCCACUGAAGCUAAGCAGGGCUGCGCCCGGUCAGUACCUGGAUGGGAGACCAGAUGAGAAAGCUAGGUUGCUGUCAGAA